rnacentral:rRNA from 1 species
CGUACCUUUCAUUGGGGGAUAACGUAGCGAAAGUUACGCUAAUACCGCAUAUUCUGUGAGCAGGAAAGCAGGGGAUCGCAAGACCUUGCGCUGAUGGAGCGGCCGAUGUCAGAUUAGCUAGUUGGUGGGGUAAAGGCUCACCAAGGCGACGAUCUGUAGCGGGUCUUAGAGGAUGAUCCGCCACACUGGAACUGAGACACGGUCCAGACUCCUACGGGAGGCAGCAGUGGGGAAUUUUGGACAAUGGGCGCAAGCCUGAUCCAGCCAUGCCGCGUGAGUGAAGAAGGCCUUCGGGUUGUAAAGCUCUUUCGGCCGGGAAAAAAUCGCUUGGGUUAAUACCCUGAGUGGAUGAUGGUACCGGAAUAAGAAGCACCGGCUAACUACGUGCCAGCAGCCGCGGUAAUACGUAGGGUGCGAGCGUUAAUCGGAAUUACUGGGCGUAAAGCGUGCGCAGGCGGUUUUGUAAGACAGGCGUGAAAUCCCCGGGCUCAACCUUGGAACUGCGUUUGUGACUGCAAGGCUAGAGUAUGGCAGAGGGGGGUGGAAUUCCACGUGUAGCAGUGAAAUGCGUAGAGAUGUGGAGGAACACCAAUGGCGAAGGCAGCCCCCUGGGCCAAUACUGACGCUCAUGCACGAAAGCGUGGGGAGCAAACAGGAUUAGAUACCCUGGUAGUCCACGCCCUAAACGAUGUCAACUAGGUGUUGGGUGGGUAAAACCAUUUGGUACCGUAGCUAACGCGUGAAGUUGACCGCCUGGGGAGUACGGCCGCAAGGUUAAAACUCAAAGGAAUUGACGGGGACCCGCACAAGCGGUGGAUGAUGUGGAUUAAUUCGAUGCAACGCGAAAAACCUUACCUACCCUUGACAUGCCAGGAACUUGCCAGAGAUGGCUUGGUGCCCGAAAGGGAGCCUGGACACAGGUGCUGCAUGGCUGUCGUCAGCUCGUGUCGUGAGAUGUUGGGUUAAGUCCCGCAACGAGCGCAACCCUUGUCGUUAAUUGCCAUCAUUUAGUUGGGCACUUUAACGAGACUGCCGGUGACAAACCGGAGGAAGGUGGGGAUGACGUCAAGUCCUCAUGGCCCUUAUGGGUAGGGCUUCACACGUCAUACAAUGGUCGGUACAAAGGGUUGCCAAGCCGCGAGGCGGAGCCAAUCCCAGAAAGCCGAUCGUAGUCCGGAUCGCAGGCUGCAACUCGCCUGCGUGAAGUCGGAAUCGCUAGUAAUCGUGGAUCAGCAUGUCACGGUGAAUACGUUCCCGGG